rnacentral:rRNA from 1 species
AGAGUCAACGCUGGCGGCGUGCCUAACACAUGCAAGUCGCACGAGAAAGGGACUUCGGUCCUGAGUAAAGUGGCGCACGGGUGAGUAACACGUGAAUCAUCUACCUCCGAGUGGGGAAUAACCUAGAGAAAUCUGGGCUAAUACCGCAUAACACUUACGAGUCAAAGCAGCAAUGCGCUUGGAGAGGAGUUCGCGGCAGAUUAGUUAGUUGGCGGGGUAAUGGCCCACCAAGACGAUGAUCUGUA